UGCUUUUGUCAGAAACCCGUUAACCAUAAAUCUGCUGGAGAUGUCUCGGUACAGCAGUCCCACCCACGCUACGAACCUCCCAGGAAAACCCAUUUUUUGCAGUACCUGGAAGAGAUGGUGUCUCGGAUCAGUACCAGGCUGUCCGUGAUCCUCCUUCCCGGGACGGCGCAGGCUUGAUCCGGGUGGAUUAGAUCCCCCAACACUCGACGCAUCCUGGCUGCUAAAAGUCUACUAAAAAUCUUACAAUCAACGUUUAAAAGGGUCUUGGAGGGUCUGCCACUCGUGGUACCGCUCCCGGUACUGGCCGACCAGAACCUGGUCCUCCAGCAGGGAGCGGUUGAGUUUCCACAGACCUCUCCCAGUCAUCGCACCUGAAGGAAGUGAAAGCGUGCAGGACAGAAGGAGGUGAUCAGAAAAGAAAGCCGGUGACAAUCUAGCAUCAGUUAGGGCGCAAUCCCUGAUGAAGAAAUAAUCAAUACGAGAGGCCAUAGAGCCGUCACCACUGAACCAGGUGUAGCCCUCCUCUCCAGGAUGCAUAGUUCUAAAACAGUCUACUAGUUUAAAAUCCCUAACGAUUCUUUGUAAUAAAAGUGAUGUUUUGUCUACCUUAAAA